CUGUCGGGGGAACAAAGUCUGCCAAAAGAAAGAGUAGCUUAAAUUAGAAUAAAUGUAAAUGUAAUUGAUAUGAGAGUGGAUUAUUCAACCAACUAUCUAAUGCACACAGAAACAGAAGAUUGAACCCAAUCUUUGAGGCAUCCUUAAAUAAGCAGAUAGUAUAUGAAGUAAUCCCUCGAACAAACUUUCUUUGGAUGGUUGUAAAUUUUUAAUGUUUCCUCAAGUGAAAUGGUUAGUUUCCAUGUAAAUAUUAAAAAUCCUUGAAGUUGAAUUUUGUUGUAUUUAAAAGCGUCAACAUGUUACCAAUAAAAAAAAAACAACAUAUUAUGCGAUAAGAAAAUUUAAGAGAGUAUUUCCUCAAGUCUUGUCUCAAACUACGUGGAGUAAAACACGAAAAACACAUAAGCAUUAUCUAUUCUAAAGUUGGAGCGGGAUUGGCAUGUUCAUGGCUACAGUCAAGAAAAUGCCCCCUUGGUUUCACCUUAUUUGCAAGAAAGCCAUCUGAUUUGGGGCUGGGUUGGAGGGUAAUUAGGAAAAGAUAGGAGGGUAAUUUUGUCUCUCUAAAAAAACCUAUGAAAAGAUAGAGAGAGCUGUCAGCUUGCAGAGAGGGAUGGAGGGAGAGAGAAAGAGAGAGCCUGAAGAAUACCACCACUUCUCCUGAACGAGGGUUAGCUGUGCAAUUCCAGUUCUCUCUCUAAAAAAAACCUAGGAUUCUGGUUUUUUAUUUUUAUGUAUAUUUUUGUGUAAAAAAACCAAGUAUUAUAGUAAGGUUUUCAAUUUACAAAUGGUUUUUCUGUUCAGAUUUUCUUUUUGUGAGUUUUGUGUAUUAUGUAGAACCAGCAAUGCAAGAGCAGGAUGUGAUCAGUCACACCCGAAAAGAGGAUGUGCCUGCUUGCUGCUGCUGGCACUGAGGAUAUAGGUGAACGGUGAAGCGGUUUGUAUGGGCUCAUGUAUCUUAAACAUGUAGUGAGAAGUGAGGAUUUUGUUUUAGUGUUUUAGAUAAUCUGAAGGAAUAUGUAGAUACUAUGAUUUGGGGUUGCUUUCUUAAACCAUGAUAAAGCAGUCCAAGUAAUUUUAACAUAGAUAUCAUUUUUUAUGUAA